ACAAAUAAGUAGAAACACUAUUUAAGUAUUUAAUGCUUUUCUCAUUAUCUUACAGAACACUUUACGCUAGUAACUGCAGCCAACAAGCAAAACCUCUCUCAACCAUGGGCAAGGAAAGGACUACCGUCAACAUCACCCUCAUCGGACACAUUGCUUGAAUGCUAAUCAUACAUCUACACGGACAUCCUGUUAACAUGAUCAUGAUGACAGAUGGAUUUUCAACGAUUUGAUUCAUAAAAUAAAAAAACACAUUAAUAAUUUCACAAAUGUAGCUACCUACAUUUAAAUACAUACACAAUGUGUAUGUCAUCAUCACUGAAAAUGUUUGACAAUAAAGCUUCAAAUGUUUAAAUAUUAA